rnacentral:rRNA from 1 species
UACGUAGGGGGCUAGCGUUGUCCGGAAUCAUUGGGCGUAAAGAGCGUGUAGGCGGCCCGGUAAGUCCGCUGUGAAAGUCGGGGGCUCAACCCUCGAAUGCCGGUGGAUACUGUCGGGCUAGAGUGCGGAAGAGGCGAGUGGAAUUCCUGGUGUAGCGGUGAAAUGCGCAGAUAUCAGGAAGAACACCCGUGGCGAAGGCGGCUCUCUGGAACGCAACUGACGCUGAGACGCGAAAGCGUGGGGAGCAAACAGG